AGAAACAACCUAAGUGUCCAUCAAUGAGUGAAUGGAUAAAGAAAGUGUGGUAAAUUCAUACAAUGCAGUAUUAUUCAUUAGCCAUAACUGAAACAAAG